CGCGUAGGCGGAUGUUACAGUCAGGCGUGAAAUUCCUGGGCUCAACCUGGGGGCUGCGUUUGAUACGUGAUGUCUGGAGUUCGGAAGAGGGUCGUGGAAUUCCCAGUGUAGAGGUGAAAUUCGUAGAUAUUGGGAAGAACACCGGUGGCGAAGGCGGCGACCUGGUCCGAUACUGACGCUGAGGCGCGAAAGCGUGGGGAGCAAACAGGAUUAGAUACCCUGGUAGUCCACGCUGUAAACGAUGUGCGCUGGAUGUUGGGUGACAUAGUCAUUCAGUGUCGUAGCUAACGCGAUAAGCGCACCGCCUGGGGAGUACGGCCGCAAGGUUGAG
rnacentral:rRNA from 1 species